GAUGAACGCUAGCGGCAGGCUUAACACAUGCAAGUCGAGGGGUAACAGGGAGAAGCUUGCUUUUCCGCUGACGACCGGCGCACGGGUGCGUAACGCGUAUAGAACCUACCUUUUACAGAGGGAUAGCCCAGAGAAAUUUGGAUUAACACCUCAUAGUAUUAUAAAUUGGCAUCAAUUAAUAAUUAAACAUUUAUGGGUAAGAGAUGGUUAUGCGUCCUAUUAGCUAGAUGGUAAGGUAACGGCUUACCAUGGCAACGAUAGGUAGGGGUCCUGAGAGGGAGAUCCCCCACACUGGUACUGAGACACGGACCAG
rnacentral:rRNA from 1 species